AAUGAAUUGCCUGAUGAAAAGGAUUACCUUGAUAGGGUAAAUUAUGUAAAAUUUUACAUUCAUUG
rnacentral:tRNA from 1 species